GACGAACCGUGCGAACGUUAUUCGGAAUCACUGGGCUUAAAGCGCGUGUAGGCGGGCCGGCACGUCGGUCGCUGAAAUCCCCCGGCUCAACCGGGGAAGGGGCGCCGAUACGACCGGCCUGGAGGGGCGUAGGGGGACCGGGAACUUCCGGUGGAGCGGUGAAAUGCGUUGAGAUCGGAAGGAACGCCCGUGGCGAAAGCGUGGUCCUGGACGCCUGCUGACGCUGAGACGCGAAAGCCAGGGGAGCGAACGGG
rnacentral:rRNA from 1 species